UGCUUUGAUCAAUUCCCGAUA
rnacentral:piRNA from 1 species